rnacentral:tRNA from 1 species
GCCGAGGUGGCGGAAUUGGCAGACGCACAGGACUUAAAAUCCUGCGGAGGUUAAACUCCAUACCGGUUCGAUUCCGGUUCUCGGCACCA